UCUCAAGUCCAGUCCUCGAGGCCCACACCUGAUUCAAAUGAUCAGCUCGUUAUCAAGCCAUUCCAGAGCUUGAUAACGAGCUGAUCAUUUGAAUCAGGUGUGGGCCUCGAGGACUGGACUUGAGA